rnacentral:rRNA from 1 species
GACGAACGCUGGCGGCGUGCUUAACACAUGCAAGUCGAACGGAAAGGCCCUGCUUUUGUGGGGUGCUCGAGUGGCGAACGGGUGAGUAACACGUGAGUAACCUGCCCUUGACUCUGAGAUAACUUCAGGAAACUGGGGCUAAUACCGGAUAGGAGCUCCUGCUGCAUGGUGGGGGUUGGAAAGUUUCGGCGGUUGGGGAUGGACUCGCGGCUUAUCAGCUUGUUGGUGGGGUAGUGGCUUACCAAGGCUUUGACGGGUAGCCGGCCUGAGAGGGUGACCGGCCACAUUGGGACUGAGAUACGGCCCAGACUCCUACGGGAGGCAGCAGUGGGGAAUAUUGCACAAUGGGCGGAAGCCUGAUGCAGCAACGCCGCGUGCGGGAUGACGGCCUUCGGGUUGUAAACCGCUUUCGCCUGUGACGAAGCGUGAGUGACGGUAAUGGGUAAAGAAGCACCGGCUAACUACGUG